GCUGGGACCUUUCGGAAACGCCGGGCUUCUUGAAGGCUCCACAUAGCUCCGGACGCCGCCAAGGGUCUUUGGCAUCCCGGUGCCACCAACACGGAAGGUCUGAUCUUUCUGGUCCAAAGAAAUUGCUGGUUGGCUUCGGUCUCCACAGAGUAAGGACCUACGCCUCCCACUGUCAACCAUGAUGCUGCACAUCCGGCCUCAGCCACUCAAACCCCAGUACCCAGCAUCCUACUUGGUUCUAUGAGAAAACAGCUUCAGAUUCUACACAAGGGAGGAAACCUGAAGAAGAAUGGCCAGCUCUAAUUCUCAAGACAUGGUCUGUGGGUCAGUGACAUUUAGGGAUGUGGCUGUUGACUUCUCUCAGGAAGAGUGGGCCUGCCUGGAUGCUACUCAGAAGGUCUUAUACAGGGACAUAAUGUUGGAGACCUACAGCAACCUCAUUGCAGUGGAGACAAGGAUCUUGCAUUGCAGCCCAGAGGGCCUGGCUCAUUCCCCCACCUACUGUAUAGACUUUUAUAAUAAGUCUGUAUUUUAAAAAUCUGGACAGGCAGAGCAUGGUGGCACACAGCUUUUGUCUCAGCAUUUGGGAGGCAGAUGCAGGCAGAUCAAG
rnacentral:lncRNA from 1 species